GCCUGAAGGCUAUCAGGAGGGACUUCAGGGGACUGGGGUGGUUAGCAGAUGGAGUGGAAGUACAGGUCAGUUUUGUCCAAAUGGGGAAGUAUUCAGAUCUGGACUUUUGGUCUGAGUCUUCUGUAAAACUUGAAAAUCAGAGAUGAGGGAAGUCAUCAUGACUGGUAGAGCAGGUAUGAAAUAUUCCUUUGAGGAAGCAGCGUGCUGCCCACUGGAGACUUUGUGUGUAAGUGAAAAUUGUGAGAUCUACUGGAGUAUGGGAAAGGAUGCCUUUAUGUUUCAAGUGGGCAGGAAGUUCAGAGAAGAAAGCAGGAGAGAAGAGAUUCAGGAUCGUAUCAGCUCUCCUAAGUAGCAGUUCACCAGCACAAUCAGUGGAUGUAUUACUCAUAGACAGCCUUGCAUGCAGGUAUGCCAAGAGGGAUCCCAGCUUGCAGUAAGUCACAUUUUUAUAAAUGCUGUACUCUUCUAAGUUGCCUCUUUUUAUAUUUGAGAAUAUGAAAUCAGUUCUUCUGUCAUUUCCGUGAACACAUAGUGAUUCUCUUGAGCUUUGGAAGGAAAACAGGAGAAAAGUGAAGUGCAUGGCAGGAGUGGUAUUUCAUUCCCUGUUUUCCUUUCAUGACUCUUCUGUCCUGUCCAUUGCCCAGAGAAAAGAAAGUCUAACCACAUGUUUCAGAGCAAAAAAAAAAAAACACUGUUUGAGAGGGCAGGAUUAUACCCAAGUUUGCAUUUUAAUUAGAAGUGGGGCAAAAAGACUCAGACAGAAAAAAAUCCAAAUGUUUCAUUUAACAGGACGAGAAUAUAUUUCCUCAACAGAUACAGGCUAUGUGUGAAGUGCAUAAAUAGGUAUUUCUUAUUACUGAAGAAUUUAUACAAGGUACUCGAAUGAUUCUCUCCAAGGCAUUUUUUUUUCUUUCAGGGCUGAAAUACUAUAUGGCUUCUCUGAGGGAAAAUUAAUCUACAGUUUUCAACAGAGUACCUUGGGAUAAAGUAAACAGUGCUUUAAUAUCUCUUCUAAAAGACAUACUAUAAAAAUAAAAGUGACACAUUUUUUACUUGUUUUGAGUGCACAAUUUUUCACACCAUGAGUAACUAUGUAAUUUAUUGGAAAUUACACAUUUACUUUAUUCAUUAGUACUUGUAAAAAAUAAUUGAAUUACUUCUAGCCUAUUCUAGUUUUAUGGAAAAUGAAGAAUGACUUGAUUCAAACAUUAUUAACUAAAUUAAGUAAUUCUUUAUGAGGCAUUUAUUUCUAGACUGCCGGGACUUUUAGCUGCAAAUAAGCCCCUUAGACCAGGGUAGAGAUUAGUCAUUGAAAGCAUGCAGCUUCCCAUUCACUUUAUAAUGUUCAUCUCAUUAGGUCAUACAAGAUUUGUAACUCCCCAAAACAGACAGAGAUCAAGAAGUAAAGAAAGAAUGCAGACUAACAGAAAGAGAUGAUAGAGAAGGAGAGAGCUUCCCUUUAUCUGUAAGAAAUACAUCAAAUCAAAGAUAGGAAACAUUAAUAUAAAAGAAUAUGCUUUUCAACUAGAAAAGAGGAACACAGUUUAAUAGUUUGGUAAUAGCUCACUCAGCUACACUUCCUCUACCUUCUCAAUAAUUAUGGAUUUGCUGUAACACACAGGCUACUGGGAAAGAUGAUGGCACACCAAAAGGCAGAAUGUUUUAGCUUUCAGUAGAAGGACUGACUGUGUUCUCACAGUUAACACAGUCCUGUGUCAGGAUGCAAAGAAAUCAGACAACAGUAGGGAAAGAGAGCAGUUCUACAGGUAUUGCAAAUCAUAUGAGUCAGAGGAUCAAAGUGAUGCUUCUAGGUCUGGUUGAAGCAGUUGCAGGGCAAUAACCAUUUUCUCUGAGACCUUGUGAAAGAACAGAAAAUGGCAAAAUGAGUCUUUAGAUACG